UGGGGAAUAUUGCACAAUGGAGGGAACUCUGAUGCAGCGACGCCGCGUGAGUGAUGAAGGAAUUCGUUUCGUAAAACUCUGUUCUAUGGGAAGAAAAGGACUGUACCAUAGGAGAAAGCUCCGGCGAAAUACGUGCCAGCAGCCGCGGUAAUACGUAUGGAGCGAGCGUUGUCCGGAAUUAUUGGGCGUAAAGGGUGCGCAGGCGGCUUUACAAGUUGGAUGUGAAAUAUUGUGGCUCAACCACAAACGUGCAUCCAAAACUGCAAAGCUUGAGUUAAGGAGAGGUAAGUGGAAUUCCUGGUGUAGCGGUGGAAUGCGUAGAUAUCAGGAGGAAUACCGGUGGCGAAGGCGACUUACUGGACUUAAACUGACCCUCAGGCACGAAAGCGUGGGGAGCAAACAGG
rnacentral:rRNA from 1 species